rfam:TPA: Bos taurus chromosome 21, whole genome shotgun sequence.
UCCUUGGUGGCCCAGUGGUUAAGACUCUGCACUUCCACUGCAGGGAACAUGGUUCAAUUCCUGAUCAGGGAA